CGUAGGGGGCAAGCGUUGUCCGGAAUUAUUGGGCGUAAAGAGCGCGUAGGCGGUCCGAUAAGUCGGCUGUGAAAGUCAUGGGCUCAACCCAUGAAAGCCGGCGGAUACUGUCGGACUAGAGUCCGGAAGAGGCAAGUGGAAUUCCCGGUGUAGCGGUGAAAUGCGCAGAUAUCGGGAGGAACACCAAUGGCGAAGGCAGCUUGCUGGGACGGUACUGACGCUGAGGCGCGAAAGCGUGGGGAGCAAACAGG
rnacentral:rRNA from 1 species